UGUGUGAGUCCUGCAUGGGCUGGUGGC
rnacentral:piRNA from 1 species